rnacentral:rRNA from 1 species
AUCAAACCGGGAGAUAGCUGGUUCUCCCCGAAAUCUAUUUAGGUAGAGCCUCGGAUGAAUACCUCAGGGGGUAGAGCACUGUUUGGGCUAGGGGGUCAUCCCGACUUACCAACCCCAUGCAAACUCCGAAUACCUGAGAGUACUAUCCGGGAGACACACUGCGGGUGCUAACGUCCGUAGUGGAGAGGGAAACAACCCAGACCGCCAGCUAAGGUCCCAAAGUUAUAGCUAAGUGGGAAACGAUGUGGGAAGGCUAAGACAGCUAGGAGGUUGGCUUAGAAGCAGCCACCCUUUAAAGAAAGCGUAAUAGCUCACUAGUCGAGUCGGCCUGCGCGGAAGAUGUAACGGGGCUAAGCUAUACACCGAAGCUGCGGCAAUAUGAUUUAUCAUAUUGGGUAGGGGAGCGUUGUGUAAGCCGUUGAAGGUGAGUUGAAAAGCUUGCUGGAGGUAUCACAAGUGCGAAUGCUGACAUGAGUAACGAUAAUGGGGGUGAAAAACCCCCACGCCGGAAGACCAAGGUUUCCUGUCCCAUGCUAAUCAGGGCAGGGUAAGUCGGCCCCUAAGGCGAGGCAGAAAUGCGUAGUCGAUGGGAAACGGGUUAAUAUUCCCGUACUUGUAUGUACAGUGAAGGGGGGACGGAGAAGGCUAUGCAAGCAUGGCGUUGGUAGUCCAUGUGAAAGUGAGUAGGCCGAGAACUUAGGCAAAUCCGGGUUCUUAAAGCUGAGACACGAGACGAGUUUCUACGGAAAUGAAGUUGCAGAUGCCCUGCUUCCAGGAAAAGCCUCUAAGCUUAUGUGCAUACGAACCGUACCCCAAACCGACACAGGUGGUCAGGUAGAGAAUACUAAGGCGCUUGAGAGAACUCGGGUGAAGGAACUCGGCAAAAUAGUACCGUAACUUCGGGAGAAGGUACGCCACUGACGGUGAAGGACUUGCUCCGUAAGCUGUUGGUGGUCGCAGUGACCAGGUGGCUGGGACUGUUUAUUAAAAACACAGCACUGUGCUAACUCGAAAGAGGACGUAUACGGUGUGACACCUGCCCGGUGCCGGAAGGUUAAUUGAUGGGGUUAGCGUAAGCGAAGCUCCUGAUCGAAGCCCCGGUAAACGGCGGCCGUAACUAUAACGGUCCUAAGGUAGCGAAAUUCCUUGUCGGGUAAGUUCCGACCUGCACGAAUGGUGUAACCAUGGCCACGCUGUCUCCACCCGAGACUCAGUGAAAUUGAAAUCGCAGUGAAGAUGCUGUGUACCCGCACCUAGACGGAAAGACCCCGUGAACCUUUACUACAGCUUGGCACUGGACAUUGACCCUACAUGUGUAGGAUAGGUGGGAGGCUUUGAAGCGUUGUCGCUAGAUAGCGUGGAGCCGACCUUGAAAUACCACCCUUGUAUGUUUGAUGUCCUAACUUAGCCCCAUUAUCUGGGGUGAGGACAGUGCCUGGUGGGUAGUUUGACUGGGGCGGUCUCCUCCCAAAGCGUAACGGAGGAGCACGAAGGUUGGCUAAUCACGGUUGGACAUCGUGAGGUUAGUGCAAUGGCAUAAGCCAGCUUAACUGCGAGACAGACACGUCGAGCAGGUACGAAAGUAGGUCAUAGUGAUCCGGUGGUUCUGUAUGGAAGGGCCAUCGCUCAACGGAUAAAAGGUACUCCGGGGAUAACAGGCUGAUACCGCCCAAGAGUUCAUAUCGACGGCGGUGUUUGGCACCUCGAUGUCGGCUCAUCACAUCCUGGGGCUGAAGUCGGUCCCAAGGGUAUGGCUGUUCGCCAUUUAAAGUGGUACGCGAGCUGGGUUUAGAACGUCGUGAGACAGUUCGGUCCCUAUCUGGUGUGGGCGUUGGAUGAUUGAGAGGGGCUGCUCCUAGUACGAGAGGACCGGAGUGGACGAACCGCUGGUGUUCGGGUUGUCAUGCCAAUGGCAUUGCCCGGUAGCUACGUUCGGAAUCGAUAACCGCUGAAAGCAUCUAAGCGGGAAGCGAGCCUCAAGAUGAGUCAUCACUGGACUUCGGUCCCUAAAGGGUUGUUAAAGACGAUGACGUUGAUAGGCAGGGUGUGGAAGCGUUGUAAGGCGUUAAGCUAACCUGUACUAAUUGCCCGUGAGGCUUAACCAU